UACGGAGGGGGUUAGCGUUGUUCGGAAUUACUGGGCGUAAAGCGCGCGUAGGCGGGCUAGUAAGUUAGAGGUGAAAUCCCGGGGCUCAACCCCGGAACUGCCUUUAAUACUGCUAGUCUUGAGUUCGAGAGAGGUGAGUGGAAUUCCGAGUGUAGAGGUGAAAUUCGUAGAUAUUAGAAAGAAUACCAAUUGCGAAGGCAGCUCACUGGCUCGAUACUGACGCUGAGGUGCGAAAGUGUGGGGAGCAAACAGG
rnacentral:rRNA from 1 species